GAUGAACGCUGGCGGCGUGCCUAAUACAUGCAAGUCGAGCGAACAGAUGAGGAGCUUGCUCCUCUGACGUUAGCGGCGGACGGGUGAGUAACACGUGGAUAACCUACCUAUAAGACUGGGAUAACUUCGGGAAACCGGAGCUAAUACCGGAUAAUAUAUUGAACCGCAUGGUUCAAUAGUGAAAGACGGUUUUGCUGUCACUUAUAGAUGGAUCCGCGCCGCAUUAGCUAGUUGGUAAGGUAACGGCUUACCAAGGCAACGAUGCGUAGCCGACCUGAGAGGGUGAUCGGCCACACUGGAACUGAGACACGGUCCAGACUCCUACGGGAGGCAGCAGUAGGGAAUCUUACGCAAUGGGCGAGAGCCUGACGGAGCAACGCCGCGUGAGUGAUGAAGGUCUUCGGAUCGUAAAACUCUGUUAUUAGGGAAGAACAAAUGUGUAAGUAACUAUGCACGUCUUGACGGUACCUAAUCAGAAAGCCACGGCUAACUACGUG
rnacentral:rRNA from 1 species